rnacentral:rRNA from 1 species
GAUGAACGCUGGCGGCGUGCUUAACACAUGCAAGUCGAACGGGAAACCUUUUAUUGAAGCUUCGGCAGAUUUAGCUGGUUUCUAGUGGCGGACGGGUGAGUAACGCGUGGGUAACCUGCCUUAUACAGGGGGAUAACAGUCAGAAAUGGCUGCUAAUACCGCAUCAGCGCACAGAGCUGCAUGGCUCAGUGUGUAAAACUCCGGUGGUAUAAGAUGGACCCGCGUUGGAUUAGCUGGUUGGUGGGGUAACGGCCCACCAAGGCGACGAUGCAUAGCCGGCCGGGGAGGGGGAACGGCCACAUUGGGACUGAGACACGGCCCAGACUCCUACGGGAGGCAGCAGUGGGGAAUAUUGCACAAGGGGGGAAAACCUGAUGCAGCGACGCCGCGUGAAGGAAGAAGUAGCUCGGUAUGUAAACUUCUAUCAGCAGGGAAGAUAAUGACGGUACCUGACUAAGAAGCCCCGGCUAACUACGUG